rnacentral:rRNA from 1 species
UACGUAGGCAGCAAGCGUUGUUCGGAAUUACUGGGCGUAAAGAGUGUGUAGGCGGUGCUCUAAGUUCGGUGUGAAAUCUCCCGGCUCAACUGGGAGGGUGCGCCGGAAACUGGGGUGCUGGAGCGCGGGAGAGGAAAGCGGAAUUCCUGGUGUAGCGGUGAAAUGCGUAGAUAUCAGGGGGAACACCGGCGGUGUAGACGGCUUUCUGGACCGUAGCUGACGCUGAGACACGAAAGCGUGGGUAGCAAACAGG